UACGGGGGGUGCGAGCGUUGUCCGGAAUCACUGGGCGUAAAGGGCGCGUAGGUGGUUUGAUAAGGGUGUGGUGAAAGUCCGGAGCUCAACUCCGGAUCUGCCGUGCCGACUGUCAAACUCGAGGGCUGUAGAGGCAGACGGAAUUCCGGGUGUAGCGGUGGAAUGCGUAGAGAUCCGGAGGAACACCGGUGGCGAAGGCGGGUCUCUGGGCCGAUACUGACGCUGAGGAGCGAAAGCGUGGGGAGCGAACAGG
rnacentral:rRNA from 1 species